CAUAAUCUUUAUAAAUUGUAAAACCACAUUCUAUUUGUUAAAUGCAAAAGGCAAAAAUAUGGCUAAACUUGUCAAGUUUGUUUAUGUUAUAAUUGUGUUUUAUACCCUUUUUCUCGUUGGAACAGAAAUUGUUUCGGGUCAUGCUUGUACCGUUAAUGCUGAUUGUGAACAGAGUAUGUGUGAUCCGUUUUGUGUCGGAGGUUAUCAUUUUACGCCGAUUUGUGUUAUCGGUUGGUGUGUUUGUGUCGGAAAUCGGGUUGCUCCGGUUUUAUGAAUAAUUAUAUAGUUUCCAUAUAUAUGUGGAAAUCAUAAUAAGCUAUUAAUAAAAUUUAUAAAUUAUACAUGUGACUUUUAAAUAUCUUUUUCACCCUUGUUAUGAUUUAAAUACUAAAAUCAAAAGAAA